rnacentral:rRNA from 1 species
AUGUGGGGUCAGGUCAACAACCACGUCAGCAAGUCAACGCUGACAUGUGGGGUCGGUCAACAGGUGACGUGGCCAGGUCAGACUGACCUGUGCGCCCUAUGGGGUUAG